rnacentral:lncRNA from 1 species
AAAAUCUAUGGCAACUUUUUCCCAAGAAAUCAAGAGCAAAUUUCUAGAUCUGAUUAAAUUUAUUAUUUCUUUACCUAUAGUAUUUUUCUUCUUCUUCUACAUCUUUCUUAUAGAAAUCCUUUUAUCCCAAAGAAGUUUGUGAUUUUUUUUUUUUUUUUUUUAUAAUUUGAUCAUGAUGUUACUAAUUCUCCAGGAAAUGAUGAGCUUGAAAAAUCAAAGUUGGAAAAUGAGGUAACGCUUAUAUAUAUAUAUAUAUAUUCCUAUUAGGUUGUUCGUAAAUAGGGUAAAUAAGCAGAAAUUAGCUGUUUUAUUCAGCUAUUUUAUUCAGAGAAAUAACUUUCAUCAUACAAAUAGUAUAGGUCAUCAUCGCUAUCUAUAUAUGUAUAAUCAUGAACAGACCAUUGUUCUUGAAAAAGACUGUUGAUGAUUUUUUCAAGAAUUUUUUCUUGAAAAUUUUUAUUUAAUUUGAUUACCUUUAAAAUGGUGAUCAAGGUUUUUUCAUUAAAAAAGAUAGCAUAAUAGCUCAUUAAGUUGUAUAAAGGACAAAUUCUUUUAGUAAAAGAGUUCAAUUUUUGUACAAUUUUUUUUCUGUUUCUCUUAGCAUGUGAGCUUCAUAUAUCAUGUAAAUUAGUGUGACAUCUGUAAUCAAAUUUUUCCAAAGAUAAUCUUGCAUCUUUGAAAUAAUUUUGUUAAGAGUUUCUAUUGACUUUUUAGAUUUUCAAAAUCUUUUUCUGAUCUUUUUUAGUUGUGGUUGAACAACUUUCAUUAUUGAAGUAUUGAAAAUUUCAUGAUGAUAGUUAUUUCCUAUAGGUGCUUAGUAUCAUAUAGUAUGUAUGAAUAUGCAUAGAACAGAUAUGAAGAUAGAUUUCUUCUUAUGCUAAUAGCUUUACGAAGUACAGAGUUUAGGUUUAUACCUUUCGACUUCUUCUUAUGCUAGCUGUAUCUGUAUCACAGUAGUUCUUCUCUGGCAAUGAAGGAUUAUUUAGCCUAUUAUGACGCUCAGUUUGAGGCUAACUUGGUAUCUUUCCUCCUAUAAGGCUGCAGAUCACAACCUUCAUUUAUGGAUAACAAUUGAAGUGGACAAAGAAUAUAGAAACAAACUCUUUAUUUCAUGAAAAUAUUAUAUAAGAAAAAUCUUUAAUCAAAUCAUUCUAUUUUACACACAUACACACUAAUAGGAUACUUUUUCCUAGCGGGAGAAGUGUUUGUCACUCACUCAUCAUUAAUAUUCCUAACAAUUUUUCUAAGAUUGAAAGUUUCUAAGAAAAAUGUAGUCUGCCUCUUUUGAGUUUCUAUCACUCCUUUUAUAGUUGUAAGGAGGGGUAGAAGUACAAUUUUAUAUUUCUUCUGGGUAAUCCCUUCAAAAGACUUUAUUUCUUUUUUACUCCCUUAACGGGAUAAGGUCCUUUUUUACUUUUGUGGCUGCUUUUGGGCUGGGAGGUUGUAACGUCCCGAAAAUGAGUCCCAGGAUACUACACGGUGCUUCGAACUAUUAGUAGUUCUGAGCUAACCUUGAAGCCUGCUACUCAUUCUGAUGACUCAAAUAAAGGUAAUAUAAGCAUGCGGUACGCUAAAAUACUAAAAUACUGUCUGAAUUGAACUGAGUUUAACUGCAUGAAAUAUCUGAAAGUACUUAACUAAGAAAAAUCUGAAGAACUAACACUGAAAAACUACAAUGUAUCUAAUAGUUGGACAACCCUCUUAUGCUACUACUAGAGAGACGCUGGGACAGAUCCCCAGCUGACUCGGAUUAUCUGACAUAACUGAAUAAACUAAUCUAGAAAGAUGAAAAUCUGAAUAACUGGGUCCCUGAACUAUGAGGAUUCACCACUAUCGGGAUGUAGAUAAAGAUGUUCACGGUCAAUCACACUGCUGGAAUUGAGUACCUGAACCUACAUUAAGAGACAAUGUAGCACAUAAACAUAUAUGUGGAUUAGUACUUUUGGAAUGUACUGAGCAUUUGGGGGUGAAUGCAUAAGUAGAAAUAAUAUCUCAAUAUUAUAAAAACUCAUAAAAUAUGCAUGCUAAAUGUAGAUAACUCACAUAAGCUGGAAUAUCUGAAAACUGAAAAAAAAAACAUAACCAUGGAUAGUAAAAUAUAUUGCAUAAAGCUAAUGAGUCAUAACAUUUAGUUUGGAAAGUUGUACUUUUACUUUUUCUAGUAGUGAAAUAAGUAGGACUGAAGUCAAGUCCGUUUUCAAAUCAUUUAAGCUAAUUGUAAAGGGACUUACCUUUGUAUCUGUAAACUAAAAGCUGAAAUCUCAUAGCUAAAGACUUAUGCAAAACAAUAUCUGAUUAAAAUCGUGAGCCUUUACACUUCGUUUCUAAAAGCUUUUCUGCUGUUCUUUUCUAUCACAAUUACUCGGUUCUAUAGGGAAUUCUUUUAAAAAUUGUUCUGUAAAGCUUUGCUAUUAGGGAUGUUCUUUUAACCGAUAUACACUAUGUAAGCUAUCAUAGUAUCCAACAUCUAGUUCCCUUAUAGGAAAACCUCAUGUUGGGGAGAGGUGUCAUACUCUUGCCAAGGAAUAUAACCUAAUCUAAGUGAUCACCAUCAGUAUCUGUAUCAAUAUACAAAUGGAAUAUAGUAUGAAUCUGUACCUACAUUGGCUCGUAGUUCUAGGAAAUUAGGAUGUGCUAAAUCCACACUUCCCGCUCGGUGCUAAAUAAUACUCCCUUUAAUUUGUAUGGUCAUUCUGUAGGAAAUCUACUUUAAAACUAGCGUAAGGGUUUACAAUUAAAAUCAGUUAUGCAUCUAUUUACUUUAAACUGUAAUCAUAACAGUAAUCAAGAUUGUAAAGUAGAUUCCAUAUCUUAAUUGAGGAUCAAAAGAUCAAAUCUUUUCUGAAAUAUCUGAAUGUAAACUAAUCAUGGGAUGCUUAAAGACAUCGUCUUCUUGAAAUAUCAAUACUCAUACUUAGGGCUUAAAAUCAAUGGUCAAACUUAUGCCAAAUUAUCAUAAAGUUAUGCUCAAUAAUCAAAAUCUUGAAAUUCUUGCAUAAUUCUAGUCAAGAUAGCGAAAUUUAAUUUUCAAUGUAUAUAAAAUUAUUUCACACGUAUAAACAUGCAAAAGUAGAAAGGAAAUUCAACAUUUAACCACUUGAAAUAUCAAUAUCUUUAAAUAAUGAUAAUUAGGUAUGAACACUAAACUGUAAAUCAUAUAAAUUCAUAUAAAUUCUACCUUGAAAACUAUUUUUUUGGGCACAAGGAUGAAAGAGGAUCCUUGUUCAUAACCCCACAUACCUUGCUUGAUGAAUUGAAUGUAAAAUAUUGAACCUUUGAAUCUCUAAUGGUGUUCUUGAAGCUUCUUAUUAAAGUUCUUGAUCCCGAAACUUUGGAUUAUAAGCUUUCUUGGAGUAGGAGUUAUGAGAUUGUUCUUGAUUAUUGGAGCUACGAUUUUGUUCUUGGAGAAGAGAAAGAUGAAUAAUGAAGCAUCUAUGCUAUUUAGGGCUAAAAUUUGGUGUUUUGGGCGAAUUUGGGUUAGGGUAAAUGACUCAAAUACACCUCAUAACCCGUUAUUUAACACACAAAAAUUGGGCACUGACGCGAUCAGUGAUGCAUUGCGUUGCUCACUGUGAUGCAUUGCAUCGUCAACAUCGACACGAUGAUAUUACGUUGAGGUUCUAUUUUGGCUAACCAAACAUGCCCCAAUCCUUUUGCAAAAAUUCCAAAACUCACCCCAGAGGUACUAUGGACUACCUUGAUCAUGAAACAACUUAGAAAUUGACAUUCUAAGGUCGAAAAUGUCGAGAAUAAAGUCAUCAAAGUUUAGAGGCCAAAAGUGAGACUAAAUCUUCAACACUUAGCUAAAAUUUCAAGUCUUAAGUCUCUAAUGUGCCUAUUUUGAGCUGAAUUGAACUAGAAAGAAUACAGGGUAUUACAAUAUCUCCCCUUUGAGAACAUUUGUCCUUGAAUGAGAUUAGUUAAACUGAUGGUACUGGAGAACUGAGACUACAUACUGGCAUACAUAAUUGAAAUCAAAACUAUAUGACUGAAUCUAAAACAUGAUGAGCUACUGAACCAAUUUGUGAGUGCAUGAAUUGACAUAAAAAUAACCAUAUGGUUGAAACUCAGACUAUAAAUGAAUUGAAUUAAGAAAGAUUGUUACCUUCGGUUGAAUCUGAGUUUGUGGAGGAGAGGUAAGGGUAAUUGGUUUGUAUGUCUACUUCUGCUUUCCAAGUGGCACCCUUAACAAACUGAUUUCGCCACAGAACUUUGACCAAGGGAACUUCUUUGUUCCUUAGUUUACAGAUUUGGUAAUCAAGAAUCUCUACUGGAAGCUCUUCAAACGAGUGGCUAUUCUAAAUAUUUGUGCUUUCUAGAGGGACUAUAACAGCUGAAUCAUCCAUGUACUUCUUCAAUAAGGAUACAUAGAAUACUGGGUGAACUAAUGACAAGUAUGCAGAUAGCUCAAGCUCACACGCGAACUUCCCCACAUGACUCAAAAUCCUGUAGGGACCUACAUACCGGGGACUAAGAUUCCCUUUUUGCCAAAUCUCUUCACCUCCAUCAUGGGUGAAACCUUCAAAUAAAUGUCUACAUAAGAUUUUUGAUGACUCUGAGCUGCUUUCAAUCUCUCUCUAAUCGACUGAACUUUCUCCAUAGAGUUAAACACCAUAUCUGGCCCAAUCAAAGUGGCCUCACCCAUUUUGAACCAACUGACUAUUAACUUACAUAUUUGCCCAUACAGAGCUUUAAAUGGGUCUAUUUGAAUGAUAGAAUGGUAACUGUUGUUAUUGGCAAACUCAAUUAAUGACAAGUGGUCAUCCUAACUACCUUUGAAAUCAAGAACAGAUGCCUUCAACAUAUCCUCUAAGGUCUGAAUGGUCCUCUCUGCCUGACCAUAUGUCUACGGUUAAAAAGAUGAACUAAGAUAAACUUAGUACUAAGACCCUUGUGAAAGGCUUUCCAAAACCGAGAGGUAAAUUGAGUACCCCUAUCUGAGAUAAUAGAUAAAGGAAUUUCGUGAAAUCUGACCAACUCACUAAUAUACAACUUAGCGUAAUCUUUAUCUAUAUAGGACGUAUAAACUGGCAAGAAAUGAGCUGAUUUGGUAAAUAUGUCUACUAUAACCCAAAUCGAAUCAUGCUGCCGACACAAAUGGGGUAAUCCAGUCACAAAAUCCAUAUUCACUUCUUCCCACUUCCAAGUGGGAAUACCAAAAUCCUAUAAUAUACCAACAAGUCUUUGGUGCUCUACCUUAACCUGUUGACAAGUCGCAGCUAAAUCAAGGUCACGGGUAGGGUAAUUAUUUUAAUGAGGCUUAAGCUAUCUAGAGGCAUAAGCUAUGACUCUACCUCUCUGUAUGAAAACAUAAUCCAAACCAAUUCUAGAGGUAUCACAAUAUACAACGAAUCCAUCUGUACCAUCAGGUAGUGCUAAAAUAGGAGCUAAAGUAAGUCGAGUCUUCAACUUCUGAAAACUCUUCUUACAAAAAUCUGACCACUAGAACUUAACUUUCUUCUGAGUUAAUGUAGACAUAGGGAAAACAAUAGACGAAAACCCUUCAACAAACCAUCUGUAAUAGCCAGCUAAAUCAAAGAAACUUGUAAUGUCUAAUAGAGAGAUAAGUCUAGGCCAGUUUCUUACUGCUUCUAUCUUUUAGGGAUCAACUUUAAUGUCCUCACUGGAAACAAUAUGAUUGAGGAAAGCUACUGACCUUAGCCAAAAUUCACAUUUGCUAAAUUUGUCAAACAAUUGGUGAUCUCUAAGAGUUUACAACAUAAUUCUAAGAUGGUCUGCGUGAUUAUCCUCACUACGAGAAUAGACAAGAAUAUUAUCAAUAAAGCCUAUGACAAACGUGUCUAGGUACUUUUUGAACACUCUAUUCAUCAAGUUUAUCAAGACUGCUGGGGCAUUUAUUAGUCCGACGGACAUAACUAGGAAUUCAAAAUAACCCUAACAGGUUCUGAAAGUUUUCUUUGGAAUAUCAUAUUCCCUUACUCUAAUUUGAUGAUAGCUGGAUCUAAGCUCUAUCUUAGAGAAGUAACUUGCACUUAGAGUUGAUCGAAUAAGUCAUUAAUACUAGGAAGAGGAUACUUGCUUUUGAUUGUGACUUUAUUCAGCUGACGAUAGUCAAUGCACAUCCCACAAGGAACCAUCUUUCUUUUGUACAAAUAGUAAAUGAGCGCUCUAUGGAGAGAUACUAGGCCUUAUGAAACCUUUAUAUAAGAGGUAUUUAAGCUUCUCUUUUAAUUCUUUAAGCUUGGGUGGAGUAAUAUGAUAUGGAGGAAUAGAGAUGGGUUGAGCAUCAAGGAGAAGGUCAAUAUCAAAUUCUAUUUCCCUAUCGGGAGGUACCCCUAGCAAAUCUUCGAAAAAAACUUUAGGAAACUCAUAGACUACACGGACUGACUGAACUGUUGGAGCCUCAGACUUAGUGUCUUAGACUCAAACUAGAUGAUAGAUGAACCCUUUUGAGAUCAACUUCCUAGAUUGAUAGGAUAUAAAAUGACUUUUGGGAGGCACUGAAUUGCCUUUCAACUCAAAAAUGGCUCAUCUGGAAACUUGAAACUUCACCAACUCAGGUGCGACAAUCUAUAGAUGCAUAAUAGAAAUGAGCCAAUCCAUACCAAGAAUUAGGUCAAAGUUAAUAAUAUCUAACUCUAUUAUGUUUGCUAAUAUGAUCUUAUGAAUGACAAUGAUAGGACACUUUCUAUAAAUCUAUUUGGCAAUAAUUGACUCACCCACUAGGAUAGAAACCAAGAAGGGCUCAGAAAGCUUUUCAGGACCUACUUCAAAAUUUACUGCAACUAGUGGGGUCACAUAAGAGAAACUCGACUUGGGGUCUAACAACACAUAAAUAUCAAGAUGAAAGAUACGAAGCAUACCAGUAACAACAUCUGGGGAAAUCUCAUACUCCUGAUGGGAUGAUAAAGCAUAAGAGCUAACCACCACCGGUACUAGAUGAUGUACCCUGAGGAGGUACUGGGCAGCCUAGAAGAGCUGGUGCACUAGUAGCCUGAGUAUGGGGACAAGCAUCCCUGUUUCCCUACUUAGUAUAUGACACUCUUUGAUUCCAUGGCCUAACUUACCACAACCAUAACAACCUUUCUAUCCCAACAAGCACUCACCAAGAUGAUUCUUACCAAACUUAGAACAUGGAGGAUAAUUGGGUUUCCCACUCACACUAUUCUGAGAUCAGGAAAUAAAAGUCUUACCCCACUACUCCUACCUAGCCCUGGGGGUGGGAGUACUAGCUAAAGAUGGUGCUGGCAUAGAUGAACGACUUUGAAACUUCAAACAAUUUCCCCCUCUAAUCUUAGUCUGGCCAUAAUUAAAUUGCUUGGUUCUAGCCUUCUUAUUUCCCCCCUCUCUCUAUUUUAACUUUUUUGCCUUAAUUUGCUAUGAAUGAAUCAUCAAUAUAGAAGAUCCAUAUCCCCAGUAAGCAUGACAUUCCUACACUCCUUGACUACCAAAUCAGAUACUCUAGUAACAAACUUACUCAUACUAGCCAUAGGGUCUGCCAUCAUAUCAGGGGCAUACUUUGACAACUGAUUGAACUUAAGACAGUACUCCUUCACUUUCAUCGAGCCCUACCUCAAGUUCACAAACUCCUCUACCUUAGUUUUUCAUAUUUCACACAUAAAGAACCUGUCUAAAAAUGCAUCUUGUAACACCUACCAACUCAUAGGAGCUGCAUUCUCACUUCUACCAUUCUUCCAGAUAACCACACAAUUAUAUGCUAGAUCAUUCAGCCUAUAGGAUGCCAACUCUAAACUCUCUCUUUUAGUAACAUGCAUAAUUUAGGUGAUCUUCCUCACCUUAUCUAAGUAAAGCUUUGGGUCCUUAUCUGUCUUUGACCCAAAAAACUCAAGCGGAUUUAUUCUCUUGAAGUCAUGAAUUCUGUCUGCUGUUCAAUCUAUAUUUUGCUAAAGUGGUACUACAGCUUGAUAGUUUCCCUAAACAUUAGCAGUCAUAGCUUAGGCCAAUGCAUAAAAGGCAACCUAAAAUUUAGCAUGGGAUACAUUCUUAUUUAGAGGGUUAGAAGGAUGAGAUGGAUACAUUCUCUUAGGAUACAUUCUCAUUUAGAGGGUUAGUAGGAUGAGUCUGGACUGCUAAGGGUGCUCUGGAUCUCGCGCUUUGAAACCUAUGGUAUAUGACACCAUAGUGCAAGAGAAAAGUAUGCAUCAGUACUUUAAAUAUACUAGUAUGCUAGAUGAGGUAAGGCUAAAUGCAUGGGCUUAGCUUAACUGAAUAACAUGAGAGUACUGAAUGAGGACAUAUGCAUGAAUGCACAAACCAAAAUUGGAAUCGUAGUAACACUGAAUACAAACUCUAAAUAUUGGUUUCAAUAUACAGACUUACUGAUGACUGAGUCUACUAGUACUGAUGUCUGAGUUUUCUAAUACUGAGAGACAGAAUAACUGAGUCUAUUGAGAUUGAUAUCUAAUCUUGCUGAUACUGAGACUGAUUUAUUAUAUCUAAGAUCAAGACUAUAUAAUGAGUGACCUCUGAGUUUACUGGUAAUGAUGCUUGAUACUUAAUAAACUAAAUCUGAGAUCAAACUUAUAUAACGGGUGACCUCUGAGUCUACUGAUAAUGAAUAUGAUUGUCUGAAUCUAAGAUAAAGCCUAUAUAAUGGGUGAUCUCUGAGUCUACUGAUAAUGAAUAUGAUUGUCUGAAUCUUAGAUCAAGCCUAUAUAAUAGGUGAUCUCUGAGUCUACUAAUAAUGAAUAUGAUUAUCUGAAUCUGAGAUCAAGCCUAUAUAGCGGUUGAUCUCUGAGUCUACUCAUAAUGAAUAUGAUUGUCUGAAUCUUAGAUCAAGCCUAUAUAAUAGGUGAUCUCUGAGUCUACUAAUAAUGAAUAUGAUUAUCUGAAUCUGAGAUCAAGCCUAUAUAGCGGUUGAUCUCUGAGUCUACUCAUAAUGAAUAUGAUUUUCUGAAUCUGAGAUUAAGCCUAUAUAAUGGGUGAUCGCUGAGUCUACUGAUAAUAAAUAUGAUUGUCUGAAUCUAAGAUAAACCCUAUAUAAUGGGUGAUCUCUGAGAGGUAGUCAAGCCUAGUAUAACGGGUGACUUCUCAGCUGAAUUCUUUUACUAACACUGAAUCUGAAACUGAAAUUGGGGGAGGUAUUCAUCUAAUCUAUAUGCCCUUACUAGCUUCUUUGGGGUCUAACCCAUAGUUCAGAAUUGUCCAUUUCCUGUGGCGCAACACGAUAGCACCGCAUUGCGCCCUUGGGAAUAAUGUGAAUUGUCAUUUUCUAGUGGCAUAACGCGAUUGCAUCGCAUCGUGCCAAGGCUAAAAUUGGGACUUCUAGUCCAGUUCUGAGUUUUAAUUUCUCAAGGGCAUUUCAGUCCUUUUCCUUCACCUCAUUCAGUCCAAACACGGGAUUUAAGUCUGAAGAGAGCAUUAUUUGCUCAUUAUUUCACAAUUCUCUUAAAAUUAAAGUAGUCCUAUUUCAAGAACAAACCCUAGCCUUCAAGAUUCAAGAUCAAAUCUCAAGGAAAAUCGCAAGAACUCUCACGAAUUCAUCAACCCAGGUAUUUAAAUGUUCAUCAUGGGUCCCUUUCACCCCUGGAGCCCAAGUAUUCAAUUUCAAAUUUAAAGUGUGAUUUUACAAGCUAUUGUGAUUUUAAAUUGUGAUUUUAACCAUGAAUUCUCAGGAAUCUUAAUUCUAUACCAUGUUUACAUAAAAUUAUUGUUGUUAUUGAACCCCACAUGCUCAAAUAGUGUUAUUCGCUGAUUUAAAUCAUAAUUAGUGAUGUUGAAAUCAUGCUAUUUCUACAGGUUUUAAACUAUUCCCAUGUUUAGCUUAAACUACGAAUAUCAAGUAUUUGAUGAAAUGUCUACAAGAAUGAAUUUUGAAUAAAUGCUUUCAUAUUAUAUCCCCAGAGUUUAGUAUGAUUUUACUAUUAUUUCUAACGAGUCCUGGGGGUUAUGAAUGCCUAAAAAUUUAGCUGUUUACUUAGUCUCAGUAUCCUCAGAAUAGUUUCAGACAUAUUUUGAGCAAUAUCGAUUUAGUCAGUUAUCAUAAUCAGUUAAAAUUAGAAGAGUUCAGUAUUUUGAGUCAGUUUAGUUAGGAGUAGGAUUUAGCAUCGAGCGAGUGUAGGGAUAGAGGCUUCCCUAUCAGAUAGGCAGAGUCGUUAGUAGAGUCCCUGUACUCCAGAACUACGUAGCUAGUAUAGGAUAUGAGGAGUCACCUGUUAGUUUAGGCUUGACUAACUUCCAGGGGUCACCCAUCAGUUUAGGCUUAACAACCUUUGUCCUUCGGGACAACAUAUAAAUAUAUUGAAUUCACAUAACAGUGUUAGUACCCAUGGCAUGGUACUGACACCCUUCAAACUGGGGUAACAGGUUAGACCCUAAAUUGCUUAUUGGGGCAUACCGGUUAGAUGAUAACUCCCACAAUCUCAAUUCAAUAUUCAGUAUACUUCAGUUCAGGCUUGUAUUAACCAUAACAUACAAAUAUCAUUUAUUCAAUUAUCAGAUUUUAGUAUUUCAGUUUACAAAUUAUAUUUAGAACAUAUUUUAUGUUUGGUCAUGCAUUCUCAGUAUUUAUAGAUUCCAUGCAUUUUUUAAGUACUUCAUGCUAUUCAUUUAAACAGUUAUUACUCCUGUAUAUGAAAUCAUGAAUAUUAACCUACCUCAUUUAGCAUACCAGUACAUUCAAAGUACUGAUCGCAUACUCAUUUCUUGCACUAUGAUGUCUAAUAUCAUAGGUUCGGACGCUCAAUUCUUGGAUCAUGCAUAGACAUAUUAUAUUAUCAGCAGUAGCAGUGGUAAGUCCUCAUACUUCGAGGACAUAGUUUAUUCACCUUAGAUUAUUCAUUCAUUUUCAGUAUUUUUCUCAUUCAGUUAGAGUUAGUUGGGGGUUUGUCCCAUCAGCUCCACAGUCAGUCAGUAGAGGUUUGUCAGAAUAGUACAGAUAGUCAGUCAAUUUUAUUAUUAUUUUAUUAGUUUCAGACAGUUGUUUCCAUAUUUAUGAUCCAGUAUUUAUUUUAGUUGCUAAAAC